rnacentral:rRNA from 1 species
ACUGUCUCCAUACAAAUA